UCCAAGGAUUCUGAGGUGUCUUCCUUGGUUGACUACAUCCAUGAGACGACAAAACACACUGUGCAAAGGACCUUGAGAACAUCACCACUCUACAGGAAGACACAGUCCAGUAAUGGGUGUCAGAUGUUCAGCAGUGGACGACAGGACCAACCAAUCAAAAUGACUUACAGAACGCCAUUGAGGACUCUAUUUGAGCAUUAAGCAGCAAAGAUUUCAGCUGUAUCGUCAGGCUGGCAGUACUGAGGCAUUUACGGAGACGGGACAUGAGGGUCUACUCUGUGUGCUCAAGAGAAGAUUGCACAAAGUUCAAGCUCAGCAGGCUGCAGUGGGUCCGACAUAUUCUGGAACGCCAACAAUGUCUUUGGAUGGCUCCUCCUCUGAAGAGGAAAACAUGGAGAG